rnacentral:miRNA from 1 species
GAUGUGUGUGUGUGUGUGUG